rnacentral:tRNA from 1 species
AGGAGCGUUGGUUAAGGGUAAACCACCGGUCUCCAAAACCGGGACUGCAGGUUCGAGUCCUGUCGCUCCUGCCA